rnacentral:rRNA from 1 species
GAGCGGCGGACGGGUGAGUAAUGCUCUGGGAAUCUGCCUAAUAGAGGGGGACAACAUCUCGAAAGGGUAGCUAAUACCGCAUACGUCCUCAAGACCAAAGCAGGGGAUCUUCGGGCCUCGCGCUCAUCAGAUGUGCCCAAGUUGGGAUUAGCUAGUUGGUGGGGUAAAGGCCUCACCAUAGGCGACGAUCCGUUGCGUGGUCUGAGAGGAUGAUCCACCCCCACGGGAACGAGACCCCGGCCAGACUCCUACGGGGAGGCAGCAGUGGGGGAAUAUUGCCCAAGGGGGGCACCCUGAUCCAGCCCUGCCCGCGGUGUGAAGAAGGCCCUUAUGGGUGUAAAACACUUUCAGGAGGAAGGAAGCUACUUGUGGUUAAAUACCUAGCGAUAGUGGACGUUACUCGCAGAAUAAGCACCGGCUAACUCCGUGCCAGCAGCCGCGGUAAUACAGAGGGUGCAAGCGUUAAUCGGAUUUACUGGGCGUAAAGCGCGCGCAGGCGGUCUGUCAAGUCGGAUGUGAAAUCCCCGGGCUCAACUUGGGAACUGCAUUCGAUACUGGCAGGCUAGAGUCUUGUAGAGGGGGUAGAAUUCCAGGUGUAGCGGUGAAAUGCGUAGAGAUCUGGAGGAAUACCGGUGGCGAAGGCGGCCCCCUGGACAAAGACUGACGCUCAGGUGCGAAAGCGUGGGGAGCAAACAGGAUUAGAUACCCUGGUAGUCCACGCCGUAAACGAUGUCGACUUGGAGGUUGUGCCCUUGAGGCGUGGCUGCCGGAGCUAACGCGUUAAAUCGACCGCCUGGGGAGUACGGCCGCAAGGAUAAAACUCAAAUGAAUUGACGGGGGCCCGCACAAGCGGUGGAAGCAUGUGGUUUAAUUCGAUGCAACGCGAAGAACCUUACCUGGUCUUGACAUCCAUAGAACUUUCCAGAAAUGGAUUGGUGCCUUCCGGAACUCUGAGACAGGUGCUGCAUGGGCUGUCGUCAGCCUCGUGUUGUGAAAUGUUGGGUUAAGUCCCGCAACGAGGCGCAACCCUUAUCCUUUGUUGCCAGCGGUUAGGGACGGGAACUCAAAGGAGACUGCCAGUGAUAAAACUGGAAAGAAGGUGGGGAACGACGUCAAAGUCAUCAUGGGCCCUUACGAGCCAGGGGCUACACACGUGCUACAAUGGGCGCAGAACAAAGAGGAAGGCGACCUCAGCGAGAGUCAAUGCGGAACCUCAAAAAAGUGCGAUCCGUAAGUCCGGGAUUGGGAGUCCUGCAAACUCGGACUUCCAUGAAAGUCGGGAAUCCGCUAGGUAAAUCCGCGGAAUCAAAAAUGGCCACCGGUGGAAAUACGGUUCCCCGGGGCCUUUGUAACACAACCGGGCCCGUUACAACCCAUUGGGGAAGUGUGGUUGCC